CCCGUCCCCUGCACCGCCGGGAGCCCCCUCCACCCUGGAAGGAGCCUAGCACGCCCAGUCUGUUGGCACAGCAGGAGAAAUUCUGCUUUUGAUCGCUUUGGCCCUUUCUAAGGUUUUCUGCAAAUCCCUCCCACAUCCAGCUCCUCCCGGCCUCUGGCGAAGCACGUGUCCCUCUUCUCUGGGACUUGGCAGGGAUUGGAUUUUAAUGAUUAUUUACUGAGCGGAGUACUUCGCAGGCUCUGAUAAUAGGUCCACGUCUGGCCAAAUGGAUCCUCAUAGCAGAUUACGUUUAAAGCAACUGUUCUUAAGACUCGUCUUUGGAGCCUUUUAUUUUGGUCCAUCUUUGGGGCCAGCAAAUCUGAAUCUUCUAAAGUUGGCCUUGAAGGGACCUUGAAGUUGGAGUGACCAGGUGCAGCGUGAGCUCCCGUGAACCUUCCCGACACGGAUACGAACCCGGAUGAUCCCGGAAAACACCUAUCCAGAAGCCGACACUCUUUCUACUGUGAGGGUUUUUGAGUGUUUAUUCCAAAAGCCACUCAGAUUACUUUCUAGUUAAACUUUACAUUAUUGAGUUAUAGUAAACAGAAACCAUUUAACUUAUCUCCAACACCUUUUCUUAAGGACUGAAGUCUGAAGAAAUUCUGUGACUAAUAUAUUACAAAACAUAGA